GUUGUACAAAUAGGGUUUAACUUCUAAAUUAUAAAUAUGUUUUAUUCUUUGAAAGAUGAGGUAGAUUCAAAUUUUCGAAAGAGUUUGGAAGACAAGCAAAUGUUGGAAGCUGAAAAAUAUGAAUUAGCAGCAUCAUUACAAGCGUUACAGCAGAAAAUAAACGAACUAUCAUCAGAUAAAGAUCUAUUGAGGAAUGUGAAAGAAAAUUUGCGACUUCAACUUUCUACUCAAAAUGAAUUGUUGACUUCAUUUAAGGACAGAAUGGAACAAGAAACUCAAGCAAAUAGACUCAGAGAACAAGAACAAGCUCAGCUAACUCAACUGAACCAGAGAAAUAUAUUUCAAAUACAGCUUCUUCAGAGAUUUCGAAAUGCUGGAUCUAAAUACUUUUGUUUAUAUUAUAUAAGUUUACUAAUAAUACUAUUCGCAACUAAUAUGUUAGUUUUUCCACUCAUUGAUAAUUAUAUUUUUUUUUUUGUAAUGACAUGCUUGUUUAAUUGUACUUGCAGCUAUAUCUUUAAAAAAUGUAGAAUCUAAUUUCCAUUAUCAAUGUCCAAUGAAGUAAUUAAUCGCAUAAAAAUAAUUGACUAUUGUGUUAGUUUUUUUUAAUUGAUUUAUGUUUUGUUGGGUACAAUACAUGAUUGUUAAAAGUUUCAAUUUAAUUGGAGAAUGGUUAUGGGAGAAAUGACUUGUUCAGUUUAUCAAAUGUUUACGGAAAACUACAUAUUUAGUUGCAAAGGAUUAAUUUCCACUGUCUGUAUAAAACAAAAUAAUUAUUUACCAGUAAUUAAUUGACUAAUCGGUCUGCCAAUGAAUAUUUGUGCAAAGUUUGAACUUGAUCCGAAAAUGUGUAUGAGAGAAAUAACAUGUACAAACUUUUGACCAGACAGACUAACAGGGUGAGUUAAUAUUAGCUUUUUAAAAAGGAAGAGUGCUUAACUAUUUAGAACCUAAAUAUUUGAUCGUGGACGACUCUCUUCAUUUGACAAAACUUAAUGCUGAACUAUUACAUCAGCUGGAAACUCUAUUUAAUUUGACGGAGUGAAUGUCUCUAACUAUUUGCUUCAUAUGCCAAUACGUAUAGACAUACUUUGUAUGUCUUUAAUAAAGAUAAAAAUGGUAACCUUAACAAAUAGGUUAUAUUUACCUAUCAAUCAUUGGAGUAGCCAAGAACGGUUCUUGGGGUUCAACCCCGUCUUCCGAAUUGAAAUCCCUCCCCCCUUCGGUGGGUUGAAUUUAAUGACUGAUCUUUUGCUUUGAUUUUGUUUAUUUUGGGUAAGAUUUUAAUGUUAAACCAUCACUCGUCCCAGCGCAUCAAAUAGGCUUUGUGUUUUGAAGUUAAACCCCCCUCCUCUAUAAAAAAAAAUACAAAUGACAGUCACCAAAUUUUAUUAGCAUAGCCAAGGGGGAUUUUGAGUUUAAAACCCCAUCUGAAUCUUUUUUUUAUAAUAAACCCCCUCUUCAAUAUAAGACUAAAGCAUACAACAGUCACCAGAUACUAUGAGGAUAGCCAAGAGGAGGUUUGCAUUUAAAAACCUACUCCAGUUGGCUUUAAGUAAAAAUCCCUUCAAGAGAAUUUGAGUUUAAAACCCUUUUCAGCGGGGUUGUAGCUAAAAACCACCUCUUCAAUAAAAAAAUAAAGCAAACUACACAAACAAAAUUCUCUAAGCGUAGCCAAGAUUUUACUCCCCCCACCUCCAGAGGGCCUUAAGUUUAAAACCCCCUCCAGAUGAUCUAGAGUUCCCCCCCCAAGCAUUUGAGGUUUUAAAACCCCUCUCUUCAAUAUUAUUCUAAAGAAAAAUACAGUCACCAAAUUCUAUAAGCGUAGCUAAGGGGGUUUUGAGUUUGUUUAAAAAACCUUCAAAGAUUUUUUAGUUUAAAACCUCUCAGCAGAUGGUUUUGACAAUAAAACUUCCCUUUUCGAUGUAAAAUCUAAAGGAAACUAAAGCCACCAAAUUCCAUGAGCGUAGCCAAGAGGGUUCACACAUUUCUACUGAAUCAGAAACCUCAUUAGUAGCGAAUCAUGUUGAGAAUUACUCCCUUAGAGCACGAAAGCGGGCAAUGAGUUUUAAGGUCGCCUUGUCCCAUUCAAGGGCAGACCUAAUGCCGCACAUGGACCAGUACCCUCUCUCAUUUUCUUGUCCCGACAACCCAUCAGGCAAAACGCGACAAGCUUAAAGAAAUUUCUAACAAUCGCUGGGCUUCAUUAAUAAAGUGCAGUGAAUAAGAGAUUUGGUUUUUGAACUAAAAUUUCUAAAUAGUAGGAUAAUGCACGGUAUUUACCUCAGAAUAUGCAUUCUUUUUGUUUUAAAAACCGGUGAUAGAACUUGUCGAACCUCGCUACGGGAGCUGGGCGCGGUGUCUACAGUCUUUCGCUAACUCCACGAAAAACCUAAUUUAGAGUACAAUAAGUGGUAUUAUAUAUAUAUAUGACCGGGGGGAGGAUUUCCUCCCAAAUUCUCCCAGACAAAAAAAAAUUCCUUGCUACGCCUAUGCUUUUCUUCUAACUCGCGCCUUUGUUUCAUAGAAUCAUAAGAUUUGCAUUUUAUAUUUAAUACUCAAUGCAUGAUCUAUUUAUAUAUUUUGUUUUAAUAAAUCUUUGAUUACGACGUAUAGUCCCAUAUUUAUAUAUAUAUAUAUAUAUGUAUAUAUAUAUAUACAUAUAUAUUAUUAUUAACACGGUUUGAAAGACCUAUCGUUUGAACAAACUUUGAAUACAUAUAACGUUCUGUUCAAUGUAAAUUUGUAUCAACUAAAUUUUACAUUUUGAUUUUCUAUUAUUGCUCAAAGAAUAUUUUUUACUACACAUAAGGUGGUCUUUUUUCUUCUAUUUUAAUCUAAAAUCUAUUAUAUACUGAAAAAUGAAUUCAACCCUAAUUCUCCCAUUUACCGAGGACUAAAACUUACAAAAAUUAAAUUAAAAAUUUUAUUAUGUGUUUCCAGAACAACAGAGCACUUUUCACGAUGGAAGUCUCAGCGGUUAAAUUUAUCCAAUCGAUUAAUUAUUCGCAAUGUAGCCCCAAUAUGUUUUUCAAAGACGACUCAUUACAAAAAAACACUUUUUAUUCUCCCCUGCUUGUAGGCUUAAUUUUAAUUCUACAUAUUUAAAUCUAACAAUCUCUUUUUUUUUAACCAUAUAGAUUUAGACAAGAAAUCUUGACAUCUAAAGUAUUUUUAUUACUAUUAUCUUCGACUGUAAUGUUUCGUUAAACAUUUUAUCUAUCUUGACGUGUAGUAUAGAUUAAAAUCUAAAAAUCCAACAGGUAAUCACUGUAAAUAUAUUAAUGUAGAUUCUAGAUCUAAACUUUGUUUUUUGUACUGUUUUUAAGUGCUUCAGUUUUUAAGAAUAUUUACCACUUAUAUCAAAACACUCGGUUAGCUCUGUCGAGAGAGCAUCGAACUUUUACUUGGAGGUGAAGAAGCUCAACACCAUAGUCGAGUGAAACUUUUUGUAUAUUUUCAAAAUACUCUUCAAUUAAACUUUUUUUUUCGCAAUAUUAAAUGUUAUAAAUUUAAUCUACAUAGAAACUAAAACGUUAUUUGUAACCUCGACCCUAAGAUGAUUUUUAAAACUUGGUUACAAAUUGAAGGAGUUGGAAACCAGCAGAGCGCUUUUCAAAUAUAUAAAAAGCCGACACUUCGAAGAAUACUCAAAUAAAUCGGCCGAGGGGGGGGGUGGAAGGGGGGGGGGAGAAAAGCACUAAAGAGUUAAACAGGUCCGAAUUGGGUCGUGUCAGAAGUGGGUCGUGUCAGAAGUGGGUCGUGUCAGAAGUGGGUCGUGUCAGAAGUCGGUCGUGUCAGAAGUGGGUCGUGUCAGAAGUGGGUCGUGUCAGAAGUGGGUCGUUCCAGAUGAGCAUAAUGUAGACUAGAAUACAUUUCACUGGUCAAAAGGAGUAUUGUUGAAAUGUAAACAGUUUUAUUGAAAGUGCCAAAGAAUACAGGAACUGAAAGACAGAAACGUCACAAGGUGUAAUUAAGAGUAGGCCUUAUUUGUUACUGAGAACAGUUUGGGGGCUGGGAGAGUAGUGAUACUUGACUUUAAGGGCUAGUCCUAUUCUACGUACUAGACACUGAAACUAGAGACCGAUGAACUUUAUAGCAUUCUAUGGGGCUCGUUAUAUUAGAUCAAGAAAAAAAAAGGGAAUUUCAAUGUCAAAAUAAACACAUUUAGGGUAAAGCCAUUGGGUAAUGUUUUUUUAUAUAAUCUUUAAAAAAAUCUACUAUCCUUUAUGUACGUUAUUGGAAAGCCAGUUGCUAUGAACGUUUUAGACACUGAAAUCAUUGUUAUAGUACACAACACAGUGUAGUUAUUAUGUUUAACUUUGAGUGUGUAUUUUGUUCUAUUUACAUUCCGUUCAUUAUAAUACAUUAUCAUUAUAAUUAUUAUGUAUGUGCCUGAUAUUAUACAUUCCAUGACUCAUUACUAUAAUUAUGUAUUUUUAUUAUUUAAAUUUGUUUAUUAUUUUUAUUUAUACAUUCUUGGACUCAUUAUUUUAAUUUGUUAUUGUUAAUUUUGAUAUUAUUUUACAAAUGAACUGUAAGGUUUUGUUAUGACAAUACAGGACCGAGUCACACUCUGUGGCAUUUUACGUCUCGAGAGACGAUCUUUUCCCUUUGCAACUUCUUGUGUGACUAAAGAAGUCAAUCCUUGAUACACAGCUGCGAUUGCAGGUUGGGCAUAUAUAAUCACCAGGCGCCGUUGCAUUUUCACCCUUCUUUCUGCUUCUGUGUAUGACAUUUGCAAUCUGUGACCCUUCCUUUAUGCUCUCUCUCCAUGUGGAUCUGUCCAGUGCCACCUCUUCCCAGUUACCAGUGUCGAUUUUGAAGAGCUUCAUGUCGCGUUUGCAUACAUCCGUAUAACGUAAAAGUGGGCGACCAGCGGCUCUCCUGCCUUCUAUUAGAUCGCCAUACAGAAUGUCCUGUGGAAGUCGACCUACUAGUAUUCUACGAACGUGGCCAAGCCAGCCAAAGCGUCUGCUGCUGAUAACAGAGCGGAAGUCCUGGCACCCUGCUCUUUGUAGCACUUCCUCAUUGGUUAUCUUAUCUUGCCACCUUAUUUUAAAGAUCCGCCUUAGGCAUCGGAGGUGAAAGACAUUCAGCUUUUUUUCCUGCCAUGAGUAGGUUGACCAUGUUUCACUUCCGUACAGCAAGGUGCUCAACACACAGGUCCGGUAGACUAGGGCUUUAGUACUGCUAGUCAGCAAUAUGUUGUCCCAGAUUCUUUUCUGCAACCGAGUCACUAGGACUAAAAAUUAUAACAAGUUUAUCGUAAAACUCGAUGCUAGUAACCAAUGCCGAAGUGUAGAAACGUGGGUUUUGGAUUCUAUAUUAUUUGUCUAGUAUUAUAUAUUGUAAAAUGGUGCACCAAAUGAGCGGACCGCUUUAUUCUAAGUGGAUUUUAACAGCGCGCCGCUUAUUCUAAGUGGAUGAUAAAAUCGCGCCGCUUUAUUCUAAGUGGAUGUUAAAGGCGCGCCGCUUUAUUCUAAGUGGAUGUUAAAGGCGCGCCGCUUUAUUCUAAGUGGAUGUUAAAGGCGCGCCGCUUUAUUCUAAGUGGAUGUUAAAGGCGCGCCGCUUUAUUCUAAGUGGAUGUUAAAGGCGCGCCGCUUUAUUCUAAGUGGAUGUUAAAGGCGCGCCGCUUUAUUCUAAGUGGAUGUUAAAGGCGCGCCGCUUUAUUCUAAGUGGAUGUUAAAGGCGCGCCGCUUUAUUCUAAGUGGAUGUUAAAGGCGCGCCAAUUUUCUUGUAAGUCAGCAGUUGUUCUUUUUUUUUGGCAAACCCUUUUUACCAUGUCAUUGUUUGCGACCCCGAGCCCAAAAAUUAUUUGUGUUUAUAAGCCCUAACUACUGUGUUUUUAACUGAUGUUAUAAAAUGUAAAUUAUAAUAGAAAUGUCUUCGAUUCCGAAGAUAAAGGAUGAUUGCAGUGUUUCACAUGACAACGCAAAGUACUAAUUGCGUAAACAGAUCUCUCUGAUAUGCAGUACCAAAGUCCUUUUGUCUAAGCACGGAAUAAUAUGUAAAUAUAUUUUAUAUGUAUUUUAAACUGUAUUCUGCUUCUAAUUUAAUUACAAAUAAAGAAUUUAAAUAAAAAAUGGA